rnacentral:tRNA from 1 species
GAGCCCGUGGCUCAAUGGUUGGGGCGUUUGUUUUCUAACCAAUAGAUCGCGGGUUCA